CUGGUAUCAUACUUUAAAGCACAAAAAAUUUUAACAGGAUAAUACAUGUAACAAGAGUACAUUUUUCACCUUUUUCUACAAGCUUAAACAGUUACAUGAAGAUAAGAAAACAAGACCAUGAAUCUUCCUUCUUCUCUACUGAUGGUAUAACAACAUAGCUGUACAUAUGCUAUCAAUCACCGUAACCAUAAUGAGGAAUCCUCUGAAGUUUAAGUGACCUACCAAUGAUGUCUGCAAAGAACACUUGAGCAACAUUUGCUCAGAAGAUGGUGUUCCACAUAUAAGAUGUUAAGUACAUAGUGCUAAUUUUGAAAACAACAGCUGUCAAUAUAAAAAGUUGCAAUGCAGUUUGCAGGUUUCAUAGCUACCAUCUUAGUAUUAGUAACAGCAAUUAAGAGAAAAAGGAUAGAGACAUGAUUGAAACUCAUCCAGUCAUGCUCUGUGAUUAGUAGGCUGAAAUGCAUCUGUUUUGUCUCUCUCCUACCAUAUAAUGAAUAGCACUAAGUAGGAUUUUUCUGAUUAAACUGAACUUUUGUCACAAAAUACUUAUCUGCCAAAUGGAAGCAUUUUGCAAAAAUAGAUUGGUUUUGAUGAAUUACUGAAUAAAUGCAGAAAGGCUGGGAACAACAAACUGCCUGAUUUUCUGUCUGCUCACCUGUUGGGUUGCCAGAGUCUAACAACAUUCUGGAAAAGCAGCCCUCCCCCAAAUCAUCCUAAACAUAAAUAAUAAGUGGAAUAUAAUGUAAGAAGAACAAGCUGUAUCACACAGGAUGAUUAUCAGAGUUUUGCAUGCAACUAGAACUAGUUCCACUGAUGAAUUUAGACCAGUUAGGUAAUAUGCUAGAAGUACCAUCUCUGUGACAAGUCCUCUGAGAUCUCUACAGCGGUUAAUCAAGUUUCCUUUUAUGCAACCAAACAGUAUCAAGUAUGCACGCAGUGCUUAUUUGAGAAACUUUCACAUAUAAAAUAUUCUACCUCUCCUUACAAGUGCCAUUACUUCAAAUAUUCCUCCAGGGUUCUAGGUACACAAAAUUAUAUGCAUUAGAACCUGAAUGUUCCAUAUAAGGAACAUCUGCUCCAUACAAGCCAAGACAAAAUUUUCAUAAUGCAAAAAUGUUCAUUCUGCCUUGAUACUAUUUUUCAUAGGAAACUUUGAGGAAAAACCUUGAUACCACAAUUUUAAUUAUUUAUUUUGAUUUUGCUUAAUGUGUGAGCACUGACAAGACUGUAGCAAAUAGUGACAGCAGAUAAUUGCUACAUUGAUAUUUGCUUCUAGUAAAAUGUAUGUUUCUAGGCAGUACUCGGAGUGUAAUAGUCUUCCAAUCCAUCACACAUUUUCUGGGAAAUACACUUUAAACUUGUCAUGCCUCCUGACCGUAAGUAGAAGGUUGCUUGCUGAGAAGACACCAUGGGAGUGUUUGCAUCUAACCAGUGACAGAUGAAUGCCCCAGCAAUUGAAUAAUGGUUUGCUUUGUGUGGCUAAUCCACAUACUCAGAUCUUGCAUUAUCUUGGACUCAAUGAUCCUUGUGGUCCCUUCCAACUCAGCAUAUUCUGUGAUUUUGUGAUUCCAUCUACAGUGAUCAUUUUAAAAGCAGUUUAAAAGAAACAGACCCAACUGCUAUGUCAAAAAGCUGUAGAAAAGCUUAGCUCUUAUUUGAUCAUUUGCAAUCUAAAAAUACAACUCCAAAGGCAGAGUAUAUCUUUGACAGUGUUGCUUCCGCUGACACAGCUUAGAGAUGGUCAAAGCUAAAAUCAGAUGAGCAGAAAUAGAGAUAAUCACAGUUUGUCCAAACUAGCCAGUUCAAGUAAGAAAUAGAGCUAAAUACUCAAAAGAUGAAAAAGGCAAUCUAGCUAAUGCAAAACACUUCCUUUCAGACUUUGUUAUUCCACAUUUUUUUUUAUUUACCAAAUUAUCUAAAAUGUACCUAGUACUAAAUUCACCAAAACGUUUUUAUAUAAACUGACCCUCCAGUUAGAACAUUUCCUUUAUAUUUUAAUUCUAUUUUCCUGCCUAUUACACUUAUGUUGCAUGAAAAAUAUCCUUAUUCAAGUAUGCAUCCUAAAAUGUGGUGUAUCUAUCAACUCAGCAUCCUCUACUCCUACCCUGUCUAUAAUUUCACAUUUAAUUAAAUUUCUUUAUACCUCUGACAACUUUUAUAGUUUACUUAUGAAAUAGCUUAGC